AGGUGACCAUGAUAUUUUUGUUUCAGGUUCCUACUUUGUUCCUCCAUGGAUCUGGGAAUGUUCUAAAGCAGGAGAGUUGGUGCGGAGGAGCUGAUGUGACCGCUGCGCGUUUCAUUACCAGUUGGAGGCCGUUAGAUGUACCCUUGAAGUGCAGCUGCCAACGGCAUCGCAUCUGAAAGAGCACGCUGCAACGUGAAUAAAAGCACACCUGAAGAAAUUGAAAUGACUGGAGGAGAUGGGCAGUGAGAGGACAUGCUGUUGGACUAAUUGAAGUGAUGAACUUCAGUUGUCUAAAGACAGAAAUAGGUAACUAAGUACGCGUAGUCCCUUGUGGUCCAUUUCCUGUGUGGACAAAUGAUGAGCACAUAGCGUCUUCGAGGAUAAGUAUGUAGUUUAACACUGUCAAGUAAGAUCCCUCUGUGGAAACGGCAAUCUCGAGAAGGUGAGUUGUCACAUUGGUCUAAGAAUAAAACCUCUUGGAAGUCUCUCUCAUGCCCAGCCAAGAGGAGCUAUGACAAUGUCAAUCAAGAAAGGGACUGUAACUGUCUAAACAAGAUUAGUUACUUUCCCUCCUUAUUUUCCAAAAGCUGUAGACUAGCUUUUAUUUGCUUACCACUAUAGCUUUCAACAGGAAAAUAUUGCUUUAGAUGAUUCAUUUGUCAUCUGUCAGUCCCAGCUUUCUUGUUCUGCUGGAGGAACAUCCUACCUAGCAAUUCUACCAGUUUUGUUAUUUGCUGGUCUGCAAAGAAGCCUGGUGUAAAAUCAAUGUUGUUUUCAUACUCGGUGUGAAAUUCAACUGUAGAAAUUCAAAGAAAUCGCAUAGAGAAAAAAC